rnacentral:misc_RNA from 1 species
AAAGACUUAGUUGAGUUGAGUAUUAUACAUGUUUUACUUGUGGCAAGGUAAUAAGCAUCUUGAUAAAUCAUGCUAUCAGCAAUUGUUGACACUGAUGUGGGUUUAGUUAGUUUUACAAAUGGCAUAUCAUAGUUUAUAAAAGAUAUCAGUAUCAACCCUUCUUAUAGUAAUGCCGGUGGUGUUGGGUGAGUAAAUGUAGCCAUCUUGGUCUCUCUAAUCUCAUUUUUUAACCCAUGCCCAUUAUGGGUUAUGAAAUUUCAUUCCGAUUCCCAUCUCCAAGGGUUAUGGGUACCCUUGAUCUUGCUUGUUGUCCUGAAAGCAAUCGUCAAAUUGAUUUCAAAUCCAAUACAGAAUACAGAGCAAGUUGGCAAUGAUGAAUAAUCACAAAGAAAUCCUAGGGGAAAAAAUCAAAUUCCAAACAUUAUUUUUAGUUCCAUAGUUUCAAAACAAGAGAUGCAUGCUUUUGUUGCAUAAGCAACAUCUUGUUCAUUGUUCACAAGCCAGAGCAAUCUAUGAUUUAAGAAAUCUGUUUGAACCUUGCUUGUUGGCAAAUUGGGGCUUGCUCAGUUUAUAUGCAUGGGGGAAGGUAGGGUUAUAAAUUUGAAUCCUAGGCCCAGGGUUAUAAAUUUGAAUCCUAGGCCCUUUCUCCUAGAAUCAAGAGAUUAGAGACAUGAAUAAUAAACUUUGUAGUUGGGGUAGAUUUGGGUAAAAGAUGCUAAUACCUUUCUUAUGUCCUUCCUUGUUAAUUAAAUUAUAAUUUUCUUGAACUCACCUUGAACCUAGUCAAAGGGCUGCAUUCCCUGCCAUAAUUGUGGUGGAUUGAUCAGGUCCUUGUGGGGAUGGGAAUUGUUACCCUUAGCCAGGGAUGAACUUUUUUUGUGAUAUUGUUGUUUGUUUCAUGAUGCACUUGGUAUUCAGUUACUUAGGCAAUUAUCAAUUUUUUUCCUUUCUUGUCAAGUGCACAUUAAUAUACGCGGUGAUGAAUUUUCAUUUGUAAUGUUUAUUAGGCCAUUUUUGUUUUAACUAAUAUUGUGAUUCUUCUUGUUCCUUCACCUCACUAUUUAUAAAUUUAUUAAGUAGAAGCCACUUAAUUUUAAUAAGCUUACAUAAUGAAGUUACUUAAUUUUAAUAAGCUUACUCCAUUUUGCUAUUGGGUAAUAUUCUGAAGUAUACUUCUUUCAUGAUCUCAUAUUAUGCUGGAUGUUUCGAUAGAUGGUGGUUUACUUGUCAGAUGAUGUAUUCUUGUAUAUCAGUUUCUCUGUUAAUUAGAAUAGUAUAUAUAGGCAAUUAUAAAGUUCAAAAUUGACUGCUAUUAUUAUAUCUAUUUCUUCUAAUAGGCUAACUAUUAGUUAAAUUGCAGAUGAUUUGUUUUUCUUAUCUAUCUUUAUGUAAACUCAAGGUAUUUG